GGGCCCGCGACAAGCAGCGGAGCGUGUGGUUUAAUUCGAUGCUACACGAAGAACCUUACCAGGGUUUGACAUGCAAGUGGUAGGAAACCGAAAGGUGACCGACCCUUCGGGAGCUUGCACAGGUGCUGCAUGGCUGUCGUCAGCUCGUGUCGUGAGAUGUUCGGUUAAGUCCGCUAACGAGCGCAACCCUCGCUGUGUGUUAUAUGUGUCACACGGGACUGCCGGUCUUAAGCCGGAGGAAGGUGGGGAUGAUGUCAAGUCAGCAUGGCCUUUAUAUCCUGGGCUACACACACGCUACAAUGGCCAGCACAGUAGGUUGCUAAGCCGCGAGGUGGAGCCAAUCCAUAAAGCUGGUCUCAGUUCAGAUUGCAGGCUGCAACCCGCCUGCAUGAAGAUGGAGUUGCUAGUAACCGCAGGUCAGCUAUACUGCGGUGAAUACGUUCCCGGGGCUU
rnacentral:rRNA from 1 species